rnacentral:rRNA from 1 species
GUACUGUGCAAACGUUAUUCGGAAUCACUGGGCUUAAAGGGUGCGUAGGCGGCGGGAUAAGUAGGGGUGUGAAAGUCCCCGGCCCAACCGGGGAAUUGCGCUCUAAACUGUUCCGCUUGAGUGAGAUAGGGGUGCGUGGAACUUCCAGUGGAGCGGUGAAAUGUGUUGAUAUUGGAAGGAACGCCGGUAGCGAAAGCGGCGCACUGGGUCUCAACUGACGCUGAGGCACGAAAGCCAGGGGAGCGAACGGGAUUAGAUACCCCGGUAGUCCUGGCUGUAAACGAUGAGCACUAGUCGGGAAGGGUUUCGGCCCAUCCGGACGCAGCGAAAGCAUUAAGUGCUCCGCCUGGGGAGUAUGGUCGCAAGGCUG